GACGAACGCUGGCGGCGUGCUUAACACAUGCAAGUCGAACGGAAAGGCCCUGCUUUUGUGGGGUGCUCGAGUGGCGAACGGGUGAGUAACACGUGAGUAACCUGCCCUUGACUUUGGGAUAACUUCAGGAAACUGGGGCUACUACCGGAUAGGAGCUCCUGCUGCAUGGUGGGGGUUGGAAAGUUUCGGCGGUUGGGGAUGGACUCGCGGCUUAUCAGCUUGUUGGUGGGGUAGUGGAUUACCAAGGCUUUGACGGGUAGCCGGCCUGAGAGGGUGACCGGCCACAUUGGGACUGAGAUACGGCCCAGACUCCUACGGGAGGCAGCAGUGGGGAAUAUUGCACAAUGGGCGGAAGCCUGAGGCAGCAACGCCGCGUGCGGGAUGACGGCCUUCGGGUUGUAAACCGCUUUCGCCUGUGACGAAGCGUGAGUGACGGUAAUGGGUAAAGAAGCACCGGCUAACUACGUG
rnacentral:rRNA from 1 species